rnacentral:rRNA from 1 species
AUUGAACGCUGGCGGGAGGCCUAACACAUGCAAGUCGAGCGAGCGGCGGACGGGGGAGUAAUGUCUGGGAAACCGCCUGAUGGAGGGGGGUAAAUACUGGAAACGGUAGCUAAUACCGCAUACCAUCAGAUGGGCCCAGAUGGGAUUAGCUAGUAGGUGGGGUAACGGCUCACCUAGGCGACGAUCCCUAGCUGGUCUGAGAGGAUGACCAGCCACACGGGAACUGAGACACGGCCCAGACUCCUACGGGAGGCAGCAGUGGGGAAUAUUGCACAAUGGGGGCAAGCCUGAUGCAGCCAUGCCGCGUGUGUGAAGAAGGCCUUCGGGUUGUAAAGCACUUUCGGCGGGGAGGCGUUACCCGCAGAAGAAGCACCGGCUAACUCCGUGCCAGCAGCCGCGGUAAUUC